ensembl:lncRNA
UACCAUGUCAAACAGCCCAGAGAAGCAGAUGAUGGUGUCACCUCCUUGAAAUGCCUUGUGAUCCAAAACUAAAUCAUCUUCAACUCCUCGUUAUAAUUUCUCUUCCCCACCAGGUCUUCAUAAUCUGAUUUUCUGACACUUUGCACACACAGCCUCAACACCAACUGCAGAGGAGUCUCUUAAUAAGUGCUUAUUGAAUGAAUAUGUGAGUGAACAAUGGAUUAUGUUUCUCAUGACCUCCCCUGCCUUUCCUUCUCCCCAGGUUCUCUCUGUUCCCACCUUUCCACCUGGUCUUUUAUGCUAGCUUCUUUUCCCUCCAAUCCAUCCU